rnacentral:rRNA from 1 species
AUUGAACGCUGGCGGCAUGCUUUACACAUGCAAGUCGAACGGCAGCAUGGGUGCUUGCACCUGAUGGCGAGUGGCGAACGGGUGAGUAAUGUAUCGGAACAUAUCCGCAAGUGGGGGAUAACGUAGCGAAAGUUACGCUAAUACCGCAUAUUCCCUGAGGGGGAAAGGAGGGGAUCCGCAAGGACCUUUCGCUUACGGAGUGGCCGAUAUCAGAUUAGCUAGUUGGUGAGGUAAAGGCUCACCAAGGCGACGAUCUGUAGCGGGUCUGAGAGGAUGAUCCGCCACACUGGGACUGAGACACGGCCCAGACUCCUACGGGAGGCAGCAGUGGGGAACUUUGGACAAUGGGCGAAAGCCUGAUCCAGCCAUUCCGCGUGAGUGAAGAAGGCCUUCGGGUUGUAAAGCUCUUUCGCAAGGGAAGAACACUUACUUAAUAACACUAAGUGAGGUUGACGGUACCUUGAUAAGAAGCACCGGCUAACUACGUGCCAGCAGCCGCGGUAACAC